rnacentral:lncRNA from 1 species
AGCAUGUCUUUUUUCAUAUAAGCAUACUAUUAGAAGCAAUAGGAUGUUCCACUUCCGAAGAUGCCUCAUCACAAACACACAUUCCUAAUGGAGCCUCAAGAUAGCCUUGUGGGUCAAAAAAACGGUCAUGCACAAUCUUAACACAAUGUACAUGCUUAUUGUGACAUUCGUGUAUGCAAUAGUCCCAUUCUGACAUAUCUCCCAUGCUUUCAUAGUCGCAAAAUGACAUACAAUCUUUUACCUUGCAGUUGCUGCUCAUGGCUAAAUUGGAAUUUAGACAAAUUGCAGUAAACAAUAUUAGCCCAAGCAACAUAUUCCUUUGUGUGUACAUGUCUAAAUUUG